rnacentral:rRNA from 1 species
GAUGAACGCUAGCGAUAGGCUUAACACAUGCAGGUCGAGGGGCAGCAUGGUCUUAGCUUGCUAAGACUGAUGGCGACCGGCGCACGGGUGCGUAACGCGUAUGCAACUUGCCUCACAGAGGGGGAUAACCCGUCGAAAGACGGACUAAUACCGCGUACACUCUAUUUUGGGCAUCCAAGGUAGAGGAAAUGAAAUUCGCUGUGAGAUAGGCAUGCGUCCCAUUAGCUAGUUGGUGAGGUAACGGCUCACCAAGGCGACGAUGGGUAGGGGAACUGAGAGGUUGAACCCCCACACUGGUACUGAGACACGGACCAGACUCCUACGGGAGGCAGCAGUGAGGAAUAUUGGUCAAUGGGCGAGGGCCUGAACCAGCCAAGUCGCGUGAAGGAUGACUGUCUUAUGGAUUGUAAACUUCUUUUGUAGGGGAAUAAAGAGGGGCACGUGUGCCCCAGUGAAUGUACCCUACGAAUAAGCAUCGGCUAACUCCGUG